rnacentral:rRNA from 1 species
GACGAACGCUGGCGGCGUGCUUAACACAUGCAAGUCGAACGGAAAGGCCCUGCUUUUGUGGGGUGCUCGAGUGGCGAACGGGUGAGUAACACGUGAGUAACCUGCCCUUGACUUUGGGAUAACUUCAGGAAACUGGGGCUAAUACCGGAUAGGAGCUCCUGCUGCAUGGUGGGGGUUGGAAAGUUUCGGCGGUUGGGGAUGGACUCGCGGCUUAUCAGCUUGUUGGUGGGGUAGUGGCUUACCAAGGCUUUGAAGGGUAGCCGGCCUGAGAGGGUGACCGGCGACAUUGGGACUGAGAUACGGCCCAGACUCCUACGGGAGGCAGCAGGGGGGAAUAUUGCACAAGGGGCGGAAGCCUGAUGCAGCAACGCCGCGUGCGGGAUGACGGCCUUCGGGUUGUAAACCGCUGUCGCCGGUGACGAAGCGUGAGUGACGGUAAUGGGUAAAGAAGCACCGGCUAACUACGUG